rnacentral:lncRNA from 1 species
GACAUACUGGAUCUUUCUGGGUAUCAUCAAACUUCUCCAUCCAAGAAUAAGGGACAGCAGCAUCUCUUUGACAUCCAUAGCCCAUUUCUGCUUUGCCAAUAUCACUUGUGCAUCUGGGGCCACCAAUGCAUCCUAUCCUAGCAAGUAUCAAUGGGAAUAAAGAAGAAACUUAGAAAAUGACAAAAUUCAAGAAGAGCUGAAGCUCUGGAGCUAGCUUUGGUGGAGAAAGAAUGAUGGGGGAUGUUGGACUAAGCGAGAAAUGCAUAAGAAGCUGGAAACCAGAAAGCAACGAGACCCACUAACACGGUCUACUCUGGUCAGCCCCUGGGCACAAAGGAGGGUGAAGAAAGGAUGGGAGCAGACAUGGAGGCACCAAUGGAAAGUACCAGAACACUUAAAAAAUUGAACUUUUAUGUUAUUACUCAAUGUUACUUUUAUAUUAUUAAUCAG